GGUAAAAUGGCUGAGAUAAAGAGGUAAUAGUUUGUAAAACUAUUUAGGGGAAAUUCCCUUUUACCA
rnacentral:tRNA from 1 species